rnacentral:rRNA from 1 species
UACAGAGGGUGCGAGCGUUAAUCGGAAUUACUGGGCGUAAAGCGCGCGUAGGCGGCUUUGCAAGUCGGGUGUGAAAUCCCCAGGCUUAACCUGGGAACUGCAUUCGAGACUGCAUUGCUAGAGUAUGGGAGAGGGAAGUGGAAUUUCCGGUGUAGCGGUGAAAUGCGUAGAUAUCGGAAGGAACAUCAGUGGCGAAAGCGACUUCCUGGACCAAUACUGACGCUCAUGCACGAAAGCGUGGGGAGCAAACAGG